rnacentral:rRNA from 1 species
GACGAACGCUGGCGGCGUGCUUAACACAUGCAAGUCGAACGGGCCCGCUCUCUUUUUUGGGGGUGGGUUGAGUGGCGAACGGGUGAGUAUCACGUGAGUAACCUGCCCCCUGCUCCUGGAUAACUGCUUGAAAGGGCGGCUAAUACGGGGUGUGCCGGCUGGUCCGCAUGGGCCUGGUCGGGAUAGUUUCAUCUUCGGGUGUUUCGGUGGGGGAUGGGCUCGCGGCCUAUCAGCUUGUUGGUGGGGUGAUGGCCCACCAAGGCGGUGACGGGUAGCCGGCCUGAGAGGGUGGGCGGCCACACUGGGACUGAGACACGGCCCAGACUCCUGCGGGAGGCAGCAGUGGGGGGUAUGGCGCAAUGGGCGGAAGCCUGAUGCAGCGACGUCGCGUGAGGGAUGGAGGCCUUCGGGUUGUGAACCUCUUUCUCCGGUGGUGAAGGCCCUGUCCGUUGCGGCGGGGUUGACGGUAGCCGGGUAUGAAGCGCCGGCUAACUACGUG